rnacentral:lncRNA from 10 species
GUGUCCUUAUGAGAAGAGGAAGAGGCAUUAGGCCUGUGAAUAGAGAAAAGGCCAUGUGAAGACACUGAGAAGACAGCCAUCUGCUACUGAAGGGAGAGGUCUCAGGAGAAACUAAGCCUGCUGGCACCUUGAUCUUGGAUGUCCAGCAUCUAGAACUUUGAGAAAACAAAUUCCUGUUGUUUAAGCCACCUGUUUGUGGUAUUUUGUUAUGGCAGCCUUAGCAGACAAUAAAUAUAUACUGUCAAGUAAUAAGGGAGCAUUUUGAAGAAGAAAAUAUCAAGGCUGACGGUGAAUGAAGCGCAUUAGACUGAGAAUAGCUGCUGAGUAGAAAACCGGUGGGAAAACAGAGAAUUUCCUGGAGGCAUGGGAGGGGCACGCUGUAAUGAGUGGGAAUGUCACAGGCGCUGUUUCAAAAAGAGUGGAUGAAAGCCUGAGAAUGCGGCUGUAAAGGCUACUGGAAGGCUCCUCGGGCAGGGGACAGGAUGUGAGCCCCUGGAAUAGACUCAUAAAAGAAAAUGUUAGCACAUACCAUUGAAUUCACUGAGACACAUGAGAAAAUAUGGGAAAGUCGGAGAGUGGAAGAAAAUGUAAAGACCCCCCUCCUCCCCAAAGAGUACGUUGUGUAGUGGGGUAGAGUGGAAAAUCAAUCCAAGAAAAGUAGCAAACGGACCCAAAGAUGAAGAGGAAGAAAAGAAACAGCAACACGAAACGAAAAAAAAAGCCACCAGAUUUGUUGCAACGUUGAUGUAAACCUGGCCGUCUUCCUGAACCAGUGACCCAGGGUUUCCGCUUCCCUUUGCUGUCAUCUUGCUCAAGUCUAGAAGCUGAAAUAUCAUCAUCAACUCGACAUGAGGGGAUAACCUCUAGAUCCACUCAUCAGAUGCUCAUCAGACGUUCCAAUUACAAAACUGAACCUCUUCUUAGUGCUGGGGCGGUUAGAAUGCAAACAUUUCAAGAAAAAAAAAACAUUGUUUUCUAGUGGUGAUAGAAUUGAGGGUGAGUUCUUCCUUCCUUUAUUUUUGUCUUUUAUUUUUUUCUACUUUACUGAAGGGCACAUGCAAUAAAGCAGAUAAAAAUGCACUAAUCUGGAGUUUACAGUUGGGUGAAUAUUUAUAUCUGUAUUCACAGGCAUAAACAUUAACCGGAUCAAGAUCUAGAUUUUUUUUUUGCACCACCAUGCCCAGCUAAUUUUUUUUUUUUUUUUUGAGAUGGGAGUCUUGCACUGUCGCCCAGGCUGGAGUGCAUGGCGCCAUUGGCUCACCAUAACCUCCAACUCCCGAGUUAAAGUGAUUGUCCUGCCUCAGCCUCCUGCGUAGCUGGGAUUACAGGCACGCGCCACCAUGCCCGGCUAAUUUUGUAUUUUUUAGCAGAGAUGGGGUUUCUCCAUGUUAGUCAGGCUGGUCUGGAACUCCUAACCUCAGGUGAU